GGAAGGGCCCUGGAGAGCAUGCACGUGGGGAAUCUUCCCCUGGAGUCGGGAAGGGACAGAUGACCCCGAAACCCAGGAACCACUCCAGGGAGCAGCCAUCAGCCGGCAGCAAGCGCAGCUCCUGAGUGGAGUGCAAUUCCCGUUUUAAACCCAAGGUCGCCGGCCGUCGACCUCAGUGCAGUGACUUUGUAUCUUUUUCGUUUGUCUCUGAAAUGGGGACGACCCAGGUCAGCGCGGUUUUGGAUCCACUGGGUGGACGUGCUUACCCUGCGCUGUAUGGUCCCCUGCACCCCCCAUUUUGGGGAUUGGAACUGGCACUGGGAGGAAGGCCGUGACUUAAGACACUCCAGUCCCGCUCCUGUCUAUCCCACCAGCCUUCCCGCCAGGCCCUCCAGGGCACACGGACCCCAAGACGAGUCUCCGCACACAGACCGUGGUCAGCCAGAUGCCUGCUGGUCAUAGAGACAAAGUCACCCAGCCUCUCUGAAGCCGGAUCUCUCCCCCCGAGUCCCGCGGCCUAUCGGAGAGAGACUCGCCCAAGGUGAAGAUCGCUGGUCACGGGGAAGAGAAGAGAGAAGAGCAGCGCUCGUCCUGUAAGCUGUGAAGGCUAGCAGAGCUGUGAAAUUUGACCCCAGGCUUCCUGGAAGCGAAAAUAGAACCCUGGACAGCCUCCCCCGGCCCCUGCCCUGACGAGGGAGGUACAGUGCUCUGGCAUGCCAGUCCAAAAAUAACGGACUGAAUCAGGAACGAAGCAGAAGGGCCCGUCCCCAUGCCUGUGCCCGCCACGGGGAGGAAAUGAAAGCGGAAGGUGAGGGAACUGUCCCCAGGAAGUAGGAACUGAGAAGGAAAACCACCCGGCCGGCCGCCACUUGGCUGUCCAGCCCCCAGUCCUACGGCGCGCUCUCGCUCCCUCAUCACCUGUUUUACUUCUCCCAACAGAAGUUGUGUUUGUGGCCCUGGCUGGUGCCGCUCAGUGGAUUGAGCUCGGGCUGCGAACCAAAGGGUCGCAGGUUC